rnacentral:rRNA from 1 species
AGUGAACGCUGGCGGUAGGCCUAACACAUGCAAGUCGAACGGCAGCACAGUAAGAGCUUGCUCUUACCGGUGGCGAGUGGCGGACGGGUGAGGAAUACAUCGGCAUCUACUUUUUCGUGGGGGAUAACGUAGGGAAACUUACGCUAAUAGCGCAUACGUCCUACGGGUGAAAGCAGUGGAUCUUCGGACCUUGCGCGAUUGAUUGAGCCGGUGUCGCAUUAGCUAGUUGGCGUGGUAAAGGCCCACCAAGGCAACGAUCCGUAGCUGGUCUGAGGGGGAGAUCGGCCACACUGGAACUGAGACACGGUCCAGACUCCUACGGGAGGCAGCAGUAGGGAAUAUUGGACAAUGGGCGCAAGCCUGAUCCAGCAAUACCGCGUGGGUGAAGAAGGCCUUCGGGUUGUAAAGCCCUGUUGUUGGGAAAGAAAAGCAGCAGGUUAAUACCCCGCUGUUCUGACGGUACCCAAAGAAUAAGCACCGGCUAACUUCGUG